AAUUUUUAAGAAAAAUAAUUGCUAAUUCCUCAGGCUGAAUAAUUUUUUCAUAAUUUCUAGAAAGUGCUUUCUAAAUAUAGAUGGAGAUAGAGAUAUUAGUCCUACGAGCACUCGCCCUCUGACCCUGUGCUGAUCCUUACUUAGACUGGACCAUAAAUAUUUUACCAGAUCUCCAUCUGUCCUUAGGACAGUGAACCUUCUCAAACUUCCCAGAAAGCUUUUAGUAGCUUUAAAAUGAUAAUGCUGCAUUGCGAAGGCCUGCCUUCGAGCAAGUGAACUCAGUGUUUUGUUUUAAAUUGCCAUUAUUUGACAAGAAGAUUUGGGUCAGUAGGUUUUCCCAUAGGAAUACAGUGUAGCUGCAAGACUUCUGGAAAUCCUCCCUUUAAUCAAUACUACCUUUUACUUUACACUCCAAGACUGCUUUGCCUUCUGGUUUCCCUUUUAAAUUAAAUUUGCCCCGAAUUUUAAAUUUUCUUGAUACCGUUCAGAUCCAGUUAAACUUACCAACCUAGACUAACUGCAUUGGGGGCAGGGUGGAGGGCAAUCUCGGAUGAAUUAGAGACAAACCUGUAUUCCUGAAUAUUUGGAAAGUAAUGCUACAGUAGCCAAUCAGGUAUGGUAGUUAUGUCUAUUUUCAAGGAUCCACAGAAGCAAGGCCUCAGGUCAAGUGGCCUAACAGCAGGCCCUGGGCAACAAUUUAGCAGUCGACAGGCUUGCCCAGCAAGCAGCUCCAAAGACUGGAGUUGCUUUUUUGAGCUAAAGCUUCAGUUGGACCACAAGUGUCAGAGGCACAGCUGCAAAUAACAAACUUUUGGGAUGACAGAUUGUUAUGGGUUGAAUUGUGUCUUCCCCAAAAAAGAUAUGUUGGAGUCCUAACUCCUGGUACUUCAGGACGUGACCUUAUUUGGAAACAGGAUCUUUACAGAGAUACUCAAGUUACGAUAAGUUCUUAGGGUAUACUCUUAAUCCAAUAUGACUAGCAUCCUUAUAAACAGGGGAAAUUUAGACACAGAGAUAGGCACGCACAGAGGGAAAUCCACGGGAAGACACAGGAAGAAGAUGGUCAUGUGAAAGACACAGGAGCGGAGUGAUGCAUCUACAAAGCAAGGAACAUCUGAGGCUACCAGAAGCUCUUUCCCUAGUGCCUUCAGAGGAAGCAUGGCCAUGCCAACACCUUGAUUUCAAACUGCUAGCCUCCAGAAUGAGAGACAACACGUUCCUCUUGUGCUAAGGCACACAGUUUGUGGUAUUUUGUCACGGCAGCCUUUGGAAACUAAUACACAACUCCAGGCACUAUGCACAGGGAGAAAUUUUGGUAUCUCGGGUGCAAGGGUUGUCAUGUCCUACACUGGCCCUUCUAGUCACAUCUGCAUGCUCAGACCUUCAGCAUGGUCAGUAGCAUCAUCUUUGAAAUGCACAGGAACAAUACACAGGGUACAUUCCACAUUUCUUCUCUGAAGAUGCACAUUUUUACUUUACUAAAUAUUAGGAGACUUCAAGUUGUAUUCUGGCUGUGUGUAUGGUGUGUAAUAAAGGAAGAGUAAUGGUUGUCUGGGUAAAACUGACGAGUUUGUGAGCUAAAUAAGUCAAGGAAUCAGUGAAGAAAUCAUAACUGCCUCCUAGCCCCAAUUCAUUCUUUAUAAAUAAUGAAGAUGUCUUAUUGGGUGAUAUGAAAUUUCAUCAGAAGCAUAUUGAGGGACUAUAACUAUGCAGAUGUUGUGAUGCUAUGCAACUAGUGGGGUUCAAAAGUGGCUAAAUGAUGAUGAUAAUGACUUUGGAGAUUACAGAUCACCUUGACAAACAUGUGCUGGGCACUUUGGGUUGGUAGAAACUGUAAAUAGUCUGCAUCCGGAUCCAGUCAACAUUAAGUUAAAUGCCAAUACAAUCAAUUAAGUAAGUAGAAGAUCUUGGUAUAUAUCAAGGAGGCCAGUAAAACAGAGACAAGGAUUCUUUCCAUUUUACCUACACCUAUCCCUUUUUCAUACACUGCACGUGGGCUGAUAAUGCACAUGAUUGUGUGGGAGAAAAAAUCAUCAAAACAAAUUUAUUGAAAUUUGGUAAGCAUUACACUUUUAGUUGUAUUUCAUACUAUUGUCAUUUAUUCAUUCGACAAAUAAUUACUGAGCUGCCAUCAUAUGUGUGCUAGUCAACCAAGACUCAUCCAUUCUAGGAAGAGCUUAUGAAUACUAAUGUCAGAAGGAGCUGAUACUGUGACUUCAGUCCCAGAGGUCAAACACACAGAGUUCUCCAGAAAAGCUUUGGGUCUGUCAUAGAAAAUCUGAUGGUUUAUUAAUUUUAAAUUCACAGAAGCACUUGAUACAUUUUGCAUCCUAACUUUACUCCCAGGGAAAAAGAAGUUGAAAUAAAUGGUGUCUAGAAAAUACAGAUAUUUCUCAUUCCAUGUAUGUUUCUCAUUUAGGGAAGUUUGUUUAUUUUUCUGCAAAGUAUAUAUUAGCAAAACUUUAGUUCUCAUUUAAUAGCAGGAAGAUGACAGCUGAAAGUUUGGUAGAAGAGAAAUGUUCAGUACUAAUAUAGUUAUUUUGAAGGAAGGGGGAAAGUAACAUGACAUACACUGUACACCUCCUAUGUGCAGAGUUUUCUAGAAUUCUCUUAUUUAAACCUUACAGCAAUCCUAUGAAAGGGACAUUUGCCCCCCUCCUCCUCCUCCUCAUUAUCAUCACCAUCACCAUUAUUUGUAUUAUUAUCACCCUACAGAAGAGGAAACUGAAGUUCAGAGAGGGGAAGUCACUUACCUGAGGCCACACAGCCAGUAAGAAGCCACUUCAUACCCUUCUACAUUGCAAAAUGCUGCCUCCAAAGUACAGCCUCAAAGAAGUCACAUAGGUUGUAACCCCUGCUCACUAAAUGUAGGCUUAUACGUUUGCCCUGGUAUUUUAUUAAUAACAAUCUAUAGUGUUUAUAACCCUAUAGACUACUAAAUAUGUUCUUUUUAUUUCAUAAUCCAUUCCACUUACGUCUUGUGUUUUCUUGUGAUAUAUUUUACAUCUGAGGAAGUUUAUAUUUCAAAAUGAUUCAUUCUUCUCUGCCAACUGCAAGGCAAGACUGCAAUAAAUGUUCUCUUGAUCAAGAGUGUGUAUUUGUGAGCAGAAAGAAAUACUAUCUAAAUUCACAUCAUGUUUUGGACCACCACCAACUAAUACAUUGACAUGCCAAUAUACUGGAUUGUUUACAUACAAAGUAAAUGUCAAGCAAAGGGAAAAGCCUUUUGUCAGUUACUAGAUAUUCCUCUUACCUUCUGGGACAUGUCAGAUUGAAGCAAAACGCGCCUGCUUCAUCCUGUCAUUACAUUUGACCUAAACUUCAUUUAAAAGACUGGAGAAAUCAUUUUAAAGCUGUAGUAUUGAUUUGGCUUUAGAAAAGUAUUUGCCUUGGAAUCUGAUUUAAGUCUUGCCCCACAUUCACUUGUCAAGAAUGUAACAACAGCUUUACAAAUGAAAGUACAAAGGAGACAUUUAAUUCUACUUUCAUUCAAAAGAAGAUUUUAUGGAAGCAGACAAAUUGGAAGGGCAACAAAUUGCUCUAGCACCCAAUGGCUUGAAUGCUUGCCUCGGCCAGUUUAUCACUGAUCUAGUCAGGACACGGCCAGGACAUUUACUGCCCAAUGGUAAGGAGCACGUUUAAAGGCCUGUUGACAGCUGAUAUUAAAGCUUUCCUUAUGUUUAUCUUUUUCUUCCUCUUUCGACAAGAGAUUCCUCUUAAGAGCCUUUCUGGUUCUAUGAUGCUGAUCGACUGUGGACUGCAGCCCUACUCACCCCAUGAAGAAGCCAGGAUUUCCAGUAAGAUGUCCCCCUCUCCCAGUGAGAUCAAAGGGACACAGACAGAGGCACUCCCCCAGCUAGUGGGUCUUUACACCGGCCCUCCAGGGUGCUGGGGACUGCUGAGCUGGCCUUACUACUGUGUACACUUGAAAGAACACCUCACUCCUCCUGAUCGCUACUGGUUUCUAUAGAAACAAGAAAGAAUCUGUUCCUUUGCUAAAAUUUUCCCCUAAAGCUUUUUCUAGCACUGUAUAAAACAUUUAUUUUUUGCUAUCGCAGUCCUCCAUUUAGAGCGUCAUUUAACCGAUCAAAGAACAAUGGGCUGAGUAAAGAUGAGCAUGUGCUUCGUUUUCAGAAACCAAAUCCUACGUACAUUAAGCAGCCAUGGUCAGUUCAUCUCUCCUGGGUCACUUCAGAACUCAAGCAUUUUAGAGUAAAUACCUGAAACAAUGGUAUACCAGAGACUGAAAAGGGGUCAACAAGGUAUUUGCUCAACCACAAGCUGACUUUUUUCACUUCGGAACACUUCAGCAGUUACAGUAUUUAAAUGAACUCUGCCUCAUCGGUGUCACCAUAAAUUAUCCUUGAGAAGUCCAGAGCUCCUGACCACAGAAACGUGAGUCACGACCUUGAUGCCUGUGUGGCUUUGCUUUGAGAUAACGGCUGGGUUUCCCUGCUUUAUUAUUGUGUGCCCUUCUCCAGGGACCACAUUUGCUCAGAAGUAGCUAAGGCUAGUAAACAUUGUAACCGUCCUCUUGUAAUCACCAAGCAAACAGACUUGCCCUCCGUCACAUAAAACCCCCAGAGCUGUUAGGUCAUGAAAGAGGUAUUGAAUUAGGGCUGUGCUUAAAAACUGAGACUGGGAAUCUCUGUGGCAUAAAUCAAGACUAAAUCCGCUACAUGCCUGCACAUGUCUAGUCUCCUAUCAGAUUCCAUUCAUUUAUUCCUGCCUCAAUAAAUAUUAAUUGAGUGCCAACUAUGUGCCAGUCACGGAGUUUUAAGCACUGCAGGUAAGGUGCAGUACUGAGCAACAGACACAGUCCCUGUUCAUCUGGAAUUCACAGUCUAGCACGGGGGACAGGCAUUAAACAAACAAUCACACAAAGAACUAGAAUCACAAGAAAUGCUACGAAGCAAAAAAAAAAAAAAAAAGGUAUCGAGAGUCUACGAGGGAGUCUAACCUAGUCUAAGGGACCGCAGACGCCUGGGUGUGCUGGCACCUUGCUUAUAAAGAGCUACAGAGCAGGGUUCGACUUCAGGUGAAACUAACUUGAAACUUGUGCAUAUUUUGCAAAAUCACAGGACUGUCAGAGAUCUUGAGAGGUGAAUGGCUCAGCUCUUCAGGACAAAAGGUUUUCUCUAUCUGGAGAUUCUUAAGGAUGGGGGCCUCACAGACUUCCUUGGUGGCUCAUCUGGUGUUUGAAAACACUGUAAGUAAGGAAGUUCUUUCUUAGCUACCAAGAUGUCUAAAGGACCACACAAUAAAGUAAUUCACCCAUAAGGUGGUCUUCAGCUGGGGAGACAGGGAAUGCAACUGUCAGUGAAAUGCUGUAUUUCAUGUUCUGAAUCAAAUACAGACUGAGCACCAGAGUCUGAGGACUGACUCUCUACUCCCAAAGCGUGUAUACAAUAAAACAAACACAUCCUUGGUGUUGAUGACGAUCCGGUUUUGCUAUUCAUGCAACCAUUUUCAUACUUAUUCUUUUUUCUUUGAUUCUGAAUCUGAACUUCUAGGACAAAGUUGGUGUCUGGUUAAACAAGAGACACUUAUAUACAAAUGUACGGUAGUAAAGAGCAUGAGCUUGGAAGUCAGACACUUGGGGCUUGAACUGUGAUUGUACCACCUAUUAGCAGAUACCCUUAGGCUAAUCGAAUUAUAUUUCUGAGUCUUGGUUUGCUUAUCUGUGAAAUGGGGAUAAUCAUAACUCAUGAAGUUGUGGUAAAUAUUAAAUGAGAUAAUGCAUGUAAACUCUGGCACAGUGCUUGGCAGAGAGUAAACAUUCAGGAAAUGAAGGCUUAGGAUAUGCACACAUCUGACAAUGUACUUCUAACUGACAUAUACUUUUAUACAUAUUUAUGUAUAAAUAUGUAGGUGUGUGUAUCUACGUACCUUACUGAAUAUAUAUACACAUCCAUAUCUACACAUAUAUACUUCUGACAGCCUUGUUCAUCUUUUUUAUCUCCAGGGUUGAGCUCUGAACCCAGCACAAAGUUGUUACGCAACAAAUGGUUGUUGGAAGAAGGGAAAAUAGGAAUAAAGCUAUAUUUUAGAGUUUAAAAAUAUGGAGUUCUGUGUUAACAUGCUAUCUUCAAAGACAUGUUAACUGUGUUGACAAGAGUUUCUACCUGUACUUUUGCAGUAACUUUGGACCCAAUCCUUCUGUUGGUUGUGAACAAUUUCAGUGAAAUAGAAAUAAUUGUAAUCAAAUGCUCAGAGCCAUAAACCUAUGAGUAAGCAUAUGGAUUACUACAUUAUAUUCACACCCCUAAGGUUUGAUAAGCACCUUAGGAUGAAAAAAGCUAAUAAAUAUGAGAUUUAUUUUUAUCAUUAUUAACUUAAAAUGAAAAAAGCUAAACAUAGCAGUGAACCCAAAAGCUAAAACUAACAUAUCCAAACAACUAUGUAUUUAAAAUUAUUAUGGCUAAUGACCUUAAAAUUUUUCUAGCUCUGUUUCCUAGGAAUAAAAACCAAAUCAUACCUAAUAAAAAUACUCAUAAAUUUUUGCUGUUGAUGCCUUUGGGAGGAAUAUUGAGUAAAGUGCUUGAAAGAAGUCAGGAUUUUUUACAACCUAAGAAAAUAAAAUACAGGGGAUACAGAAUUUGUUCUUAUCAUGCAUAUAUUAAGAAACGAGAGAUGAACAUAAUGCUCUUCCACGCACACAGAAAUAUUCAAGUAUUCGACUAUAUACUAUGGUGAAGUACGGGCUGUAGUCACAAAGCCAAGCAAUGCCAGAUUCCUGGGUUGAGACUAACUGUCGGGUCAUUAGAAUAAUGUGCCCCCAUCAUGCCCACGAUUCUACUGAUAACAAGCAUCCACGCUCUUUCCUCUUCAUUUCAGUUCUGCAUAAUGUAUCAGAGCUUGCAUCUGUUUCGACCUGCUGUAAAGAGCAGAGUAGAGAGCAGCCAACUCUUCACAUAUCCUCCUUCUGACGCAGAGGAAGAGGAUGAGAAAAGGGCUCAUGAUAUUAUUGCAAUUCCACUUAGGCAUGCACUAAACCUCUAUUGAGCAUUGCUUUGUGGAAUGCACUAUCUAGGGACAGUGGAAGAUCGGUACAGGGUAGUUGUAUGAAACGGCCAUAAAAAAUGAACAUAACAUGAACCAGAGGAAAGUAUAAAGUCAGCCUAGGGAAAUACAGGAAGGCUGCUUGGAGGAGGUUGCCCUUGAGCUGAACACUGAAGGAUAAUUAGGCUAUAGGAGAUGGGGGGGAACAGAGAUGUCUUACUGACCAUCGGAAGAGCAAGAGGAAAGGCACAGAAGAGGAAUGAAGAAAUGAAGAAUAGGUGAUUGAGAAUGUGCAAUGAUGUAAAACGGCAGAGCAGAAGGAGGGGUGGAAAAGGCAGGUGAGACCACGUCAAGAUGCCUCCAAAAUAGCGUGCUGAGUCACGUGGAUGCUUUUGUCUCUAAUCAAGAAGGAGCUACCAAAUGCUUUGGAGGAAAAUAGCUUUCUUCCAGACAGUUCAUUGCCUUGAUUGCAUCAAAUGAAUGAGGCAGCUCCUCCAUAAUUACAUAGGCAUUUUGGACUUCCCUUUCUUAAUAAUUUCUUUAUUAGUUACUGAAUAUAGUCUAAUGAUAGUAUAUCUGUCAUCCUAAGUGUCUUAGACAUGUACAAAAUAUAUAUUGAAAAUCUAUCCGGGAUUGAAUUCAAAUGAUGAACUGGAGUUGAAAUUUCGUCCCACACACUGGAUUGCCAGACGGUCAGGUAAGUGCCAUCUUUCCACAGUGAGGGAGGAACUAUUUACAGUGUGCUUGUUGUUUUGUUCUAUUAUAUUUUUCCCUCCUGGGUACACUGAGUUUUCCUUCCCAGUCUGAAGAGAGCCCCUUGUUCUGAUUCCCUUUUCAUAUCCCCUUCAUUUUCAUGAUACCCAUUCGAAAUGAAAGGCAGACAAGUUCUAAAGUGGGUCCAUUGUCUUUCCUUCCUUCCUUUCAACAAGCAUUUACCAAACGCCUGUCACGUGCCAGACACUGACAUUGACACAAGACGCGCGAAGAGGAAUAAGAAAGAGUGCCCUGGAUACCCUCAAGUAGCUCACACUCUCAUGGGGGAGACAGCCCAGGCUGAAAUUCAGUUCCAAGACUUUUGAAAGCCUACAAAUGAGUGUGUGGAACGGAAAGGAAAAGGUACCAUUCACGUGCUACAAACGGUUUUAUUUUAUUCUUGUCUCACCAAAGAUAAAACUUCAAUCGUUCUUUGGCAAAGACUAGUCCUUUGUUUUGGAAAAAUCAUCUCAAUGGACUCUUUGGUUACAUAAACAUAAAGCAUAAUAAAUGGCACCACUGUCACCCUGGCCACGUGAUACAAAAAUUGAGAGAGCAUGCCCCAUUCCUCCCUUUCACUCACCCUCUAGCCACCACACACAUUGGAUCCAUCAGCAACUCCUGCUGACUCCACCUCCAACAUAUCUCCUGCAUCCGUGCACUUCUCUCCAUCCCACACAUACCACCAUCAUCUCUCACCUGUCCCACUACAACAGCCUCAAUAGCUGGCCUCGCCUGCCUUUUUCUUGGCCUCCCUACAGUGUGUUCUCCAUGCAGCAGCCACAAUACCCUUUUGACAUGUAAACCAGAUCAUGCUUUUUCCCUGCUUCCUCUCUUCCAAUGGCUUCCCACUGCAGGUAGAGUAAAAUUCAAAUUGCUUAUCUCAGCCUUUGAAGUACCCACUGAUCUGGACCUUGCCUACCUCCCUGACCUCAUCCUCCAUAAGGUUACUCCACUGAUCAAGGCUCAUUUUGUUCCUUGCACAAGCCAAGCAUGUCCCUGCCUCAGGGCCUCGUGUAAUUGCGCUAUCUCCUCGAACAGCUUCCCCAAGAUCCUCACUUGACCAGCUUCUUCUCAUCAUUCAGGUCUCAGCUCAAACAGGACCUUCUCAGAUGACCCAGGCUUAAGUCGGUCCCACCCGCUUCUGUAACUGUGUCACAUCAUCCUAUUUUACUUUCUCCAAAUCAAUUACUGCACCCCAAAAUGAGAUGGUUUCUGUCUUUGUUGAUUUUCUCAUGUCUGCCCACUCCAACUAGGAAUGGAAGCUCUGUGAAAACAGGCACCAGGUUCCCUACUGGGCCCUCAGCACCUAGCUCAGGGCCUACCAUUCAGCAGGCCCCUUGCAAGAGGCAGAAAGGGCGGAAAAGGACAGAAGGAGGAAAAGAUGAGAAAGAGAGGAGAGAUGGGAGGAAGAGUGACAUCUACUUUUCUUAGGAAUAUGGAUAGAAUCACCUUCAACCCGAAGGCACUUUUUUUCAGGUUUGUUUUUCCAGAAUGUUUGAGUUGGCCGAGGUCUGUAGCCUCAGUUGCCAUAGGGCUUUGGGCAGGGAGGGAAGCACGGCAAAACAGAUGGUUUUCUUGACUCCCUAAGCGAGGGGACAGGACUAAGGCCCGUUGAUGGCUUGCUACCUGUGGAGCAAUGAUCAGGUACUCAGUAGGUGGAUGAUGAGAAGACAGAGAACCAAACACAGGUUCCAACAGAGACCAGAAUCUUCUUGCUGCCUUUUCACUACCCUUUGGAGCAACAAUGGAAUCAGACAUCUCCACCAAAACUCUUGUCAAUGUGCUCUGUUUUUGACUGGUGGAUCCAGAAUUCCGAGUCACUGGAAGAUGGAAAGCCAGGAGAGCGGUCUGUUUGAGCAGCCCCUACUCAUUCAGCUCAAGCACUUUGUCAUACUCCUUUCAGAGAAGACCACAGCAAAUUUUACGUUAUAUGUAUUUUACUACAAUGCUUCUGUAAAAGUUAACAUCUGGGUUAAGAUUUGUUUUAAGUGUAAACAAUAUACCAAGUUUCAAAGAUUUGUUACCAAAAAUGUGUAAAAUAGGAAUUCUACACAUUGUUGAAUGUGUUUCAUUGUUGAAAUAAUAAUGUUUUAAAUACACUGGGUUAGAAUUAUAGUAUUAAAAUUAAUAUCACCUGUUUCUUUUUCCUUUUUCUAAUGUGGCAACCAGAAAACUUUAAAUCGUAUACGUGGCUUCCAUUGGAUUGCUGUUGGGCAGAGCCAGUCUAAUUCUUGUUUUGGGUGGUAGUUACCUGGUGAUAUGCAUUUGUCAAAACUCAUUGAACCGAA